rnacentral:rRNA from 1 species
GACAGAGGGUGCAAACGUUGCUCGGAAUUACUGGGCGUAAAGCGCGUGUAGGCGGGUUUCCAAGUCAGAUGUGAAAUCCCCGGGCUCAACCCGGGAACUGCAUUUGAAACUGGGAGUCUUGAGUAUCGGAGAGGAAAGCGGAAUUCCUGGUGUAGAGGUGAAAUGCGUAGAUAUCGGGAGGAACACCAGUGGCGAAGGCGGCUUCCUGGCCUGUUCUUGACGCUGAGGCGCGAAAGCUAGGGGAGCAAACGGG